CAGGAGUGGUGGCAUGCACCCCUGUAGUCCCAGCUGAGAGGUGGGAAGAUCCCUUGAGCCUAGAAGGUUGAGCUACGGUGAGCCAUGUUGCUGCCACUGCACAUCAGCCUGGGUGACAGAGCAAGACCCAGUCUCAAAUAAUAAAAUAAAAUAAAGUGUUAACUUGUCCAAGAUCCUGUUUCACAGCAGUCAUUGAUGAGACAAAUGAAACAUUUUGGGACACCUUAAAAAAAUCCCAUCAGUGUGGCAGAGCUAGUUUUAUUAUCCCACUUCCUAAAAAGCCAUGAGACCUCAUCAGCCAUGGAAGAAUCUAUGUAAAGCUGAAGGAAUUUGGCCCUUUAAUGAUGCACAAAGACGUAUGCAUGGAUUUUGCAAGUUCCUACUUUCACCUUUAUAAAUGCUGGGUUUCAUCCAUGUUUUAAUUGACUGGAGUUUUAAACAAAAUAAAUACAGAUACCAUAGUGUGUAAUUUUAGAGAUUUUUUUAAGUACAAAAAUGUAUUUGGGCCCCAAAAUGUAUUUGGACUAUGUGCUGCAAUUGAUCUUUCACCAUAUGAGAAAUCCAGGCCCCAGCUGAUUUUUUGGAGUUAAGAAUGAUUUUUUACAUUUUUAAAGGGUUGCAGAAAAGGAAGAAGAAUCAGCAGAGAGCAUUUGUGGCCAGCAAAGCUUAAAAUAUUUCCUAACCGAUCCUUUGCAAAAAAAGUUCACCCACUCCUGUAGUCAGCAGCUCCCCUACUGUGCGCAGUCAGUGUGCCAUCUCAGACUAGCAAAGAUUUGUGCUUGGAUCAUCUACACUUCCCUGAAUGUUGAAGAAGAUAUGCUAUCCAUGCAAUCCUUGUCGACUGCUUGAUUAAAAAGUGGAUAAACUGUCUUCAGGCCCUUGGAGUAUGGUGUCUGUGUGAAGAAGGGAAUGAGGCAGAAGUAGCAGUCAGUGGUGGCUGAAGUAGGAGAAAGUGCUUGCUAAUGAAAUCUUGAUUUUUCUGUGGCUUUUCUGUGCAAUUGGGUGGCUAAGUAGGAAAGCCAUUGGAGCUUCACUGUAUCAAUUCUGCCUUUCUUGUUUUUUGGAACUCCAAUUCACCAAGGCUCCCUGCCACCCUAUCCAUCUAUAACUUUUCAUCACUUUUUCCUCAAAGUAAGAAGUGUGUCCCAGAAAAUGUGCCUUUGUGACUCAGCAACAUUUCAAAUCCAUCUGAGCCUUCCCAGCGUUCCAAAAGAAAUACUGAUUUGAAUUCAGCUGCUUAAAAAACCAGUCUCUAAGCAGACAGCUUGAAACUUCCUUACAGCAAUAGUUUAGGCUUUGGAGGGGAAAUUGGUUUGUUUUUAAUUGUUUUAAUUUUUCAUUCAAUUCAUUUGCCGCCUGAUUAUAUAUGAUCUUUUGAGCCCAAUACUCUGCUAAAUUAACCUUGACUUUCUUUCUCUCUUUCUCUCUCUCUCCUUCUCUCUUUCUUCCUUUCUUUCUUUCUUUUUGACAGAGCCUUGCUCUGUCGCCCAGGCUGGAAUGCAGUGGCACAAUCUCAGCUCACUGUAAACUCCGCCUCCAAAGUUCAAGCAAUUCUCCUGCCUCAGCCUCCUGUGUAGCUGGGAUUACACACGCCAGCCACCAUGCCUGGCUAAUUUUUGUAUUUUUAGUAAAGAUGGAGUUUCACCCUCUUGGCCAAGCUGGUCUCGAACUCCUGACCUCAACCUUGGCCUCUCAAAGUGCUGGGAUUACAAGCAUGAGCCACCAUGCCUGGCCUUACCUUGAUUUUUUUUUUUUGAGACAGAGUCUCACUCUGUUGCUCAGGCUGGAGUGUAGUGGCUCGAUCUUGGCUCACUGCAACCUCCAUCUCCCGGGUUCAAGAGAUUCUCCUGCCUCAGCCUCCCAAGUAGCUGGGACUACAGGUGUGGGCCACCACGCCUAGCUAAUUUUUUAUAUGUUUACUAGAGACAGGGUUUCACCAUGUUGGGCAGGCUGGUCUUGAACUCCUGACCUCAGGUGAUUCACCUGCCUCGGCCUCCCAAAAUGCUGGGAUUACAGGUGUGAGCCACCACACCCGGCCCCUACCUUUGAUUUUUAAGUCAAGAGGGAACAAGUCGAAAUUUCUAUUCAGGUAAACUGUAUACCUUUGGACACUGAAUCACUUUUAGAACCCCAGUAAAAAUCAUGUAUGAAUGACCCACAAUUUCACUCCAACAGGAAGGUGUGUAUAUGUGCACAAAAACAUUAGAUUGUUCACACCGGUGCUAUUCAUAAUAGUCAAAAACUGGAAACAACUCAAACAUCCAUCAACUGUAGAAUGGAUAAAUAAAUCAUGAUAUAUUCAUACCAUGGAACAUAACAGUGACAAUAAAUGAACCACUGCUACACACAACAGAUAUGAAUUUCACAAACAGAAUGCUGAGCAACAGAAGCCAAACACAGAAGGAUACACAUUUAUAAAUCCAUUUGUAUGAAGUUCAUAAACAGACAAAAUUAGUCAGUGGAGAUUAUUCUCAUAGAAGUCUGAAGGGUAGUUGUCUUUAGGGAGGGGGAUAUAGUGACUGAGGUGGGUAUAAGGGGUUUCUGGGGUUUGGUGAUGGUACACCAGCAUAUUCACUCUGAAAACUCAUUGAGCUGUGCAAUAAUGAUUUUUCAAACUUUUAUAUGUGUAUGAUAAUGCUUCAAUAAAGCUUUGCUUAAAAACACGCAUAGUCAUUGCUAUGGUGUGAAUGUUUGUGUGCCCCCGUUCACCAAAUUCAUAGGUUGAAAUCCUAACCCCCAAGGUGAUGAUAUUAGGAGU
rnacentral:lncRNA from 10 species